UUNCAGUUGGCUUUACUUAUUGGUGAACU
rnacentral:piRNA from 1 species